rnacentral:lncRNA from 1 species
CCUUCUUCCUGCCACUGGGCCCAUGAUGGGGGUCCCCAACUUUCAAGAACACAGGGGAUGCGCAUUCUCAGGAAACACGUCCCCUCGCCAGGCCCCUGGGAAGAGUCAAAACCACGAUGCCUGCCCCUGAAGCGCCCGCGCGGCUCCACGGGGCUCCAUGUUGUCACCCACUAGCUCCUGGACGCUAUCAGCCCGCAGCAGGGUUUCCUGGCCAGAGAAACCGCCUGUUGGGGUGCGGAGCGUUCCACGUCCCCUCGCAGCACCCCGCUGGCCUUCUGGGCCGCCCCGCCCCCAACCCGCGCCCGGGCGCUGACGUCAU